AUACUUCUCUUUACUAAGCAGUGAGAACAAACUCGAGGUUUUCCGUAACAUCGACAGUUACCUUUAAUGUCUUGUUUUUUCGAGCCUGCUAAUAUAAAAUAACAUUAAAUAUCCGAUGAAUCAUUAGAAGAAUUAGUAACAUUGUUUGGUACAACUUGGGCAAGACCAAAAUCAACCAAAACAUACCUAAAAUUAUAUUAAGGAAUACUUUGAAUGAAACAUAAGUGAUUAAUCAUUA